UGUGGUCAGCUGCAUUGGGCUCAUCCCAGCGGAACUUCCCUUCCUCUGGAAACCCUGGCAUAGUAAUUCCUUGCAUCUCCCAAAGAUCCCAGGCGCUGGACCACAGUCACGUCUGCCCCCGUGCCUCUGUGGAUUGUGCAGGGAGUAACAGCAGGCUUCUCUCUGCAGAGAAACGCACUGAUUUGCACCAGAACCGCACCAGCGCACCCACUGGGGGCAAACUCCUGCCUCAGGGUUACCAUCAGGAGCUUCUCAAACAGACAUCAGCUCAGAAUUGCCUGCAGGACUCUGCCUGACCAGACGUACGCAGCCACCCUCUUUCCAUAAAGCCCGACCUGGAGCCCUGCCAGAUUAACAUCUCGAAUGGCAACAUUUAAGGCUUGGUUGGGGGUUUAAGAGCAUUUCACAACCCUGCCUUCAGCAACACGCUUCGCUGGCAGCUGCAGUUCAAUCAGUGUCACCACCCCGAGGUCUGUCACCUUUUCACCCUUCCUAAUUCCCAGGGCGUUUUAACAGCAGCGGCAACAACCGAACACUGGGUUAGCUUUCUGCUCGUCCAUGCCCACCACACUUUGUCCAUCCAGCAGGAGAUGCUCCACCUGUUUGGGUGUUUCUUCCUUUCUUUCCUUUUGAUAUCCCUUAUCUAAGAAGAUUUAUGAGCAAAAAAGUGGUUAUUUUUUGUCAAGAAAACUUUCCAGCCUUACAGUCACAGGCUAAGUUGGUGCUCACCCCACAGGGACUCUCCCAUUGAACCAAUUUUCUCUCUUCCCUUUUUCCUCCCUAUAAAUUCACAAAAAGGAGAAUUCCUACCACUAAAUAUUUAAUCAUUCACAACCUGGGGAUCUUUUUUUUCCUUAUCAGGGAGAGGCUGAUAAAGACUCAUUGAGGGGUCUAAAAUGACAACUGCAGUAUUAAGCAUCCUGAAAGAAAGGAGGAAAGUUGUGAAAAAGGAGAAAGGAAAAAAAGUUGUGGGAGGAUGGAAGGAAAAAAAAAGGUCAUCUGGGAUGAAAGAAAGGAAAAAAAGUUAUUUGGGGAUGAAAGGAAGGGAAAAAAGUUAUUUGGGGAUGAAAGCAAAAAGUUUGAGGAAGAAAUAAAAAGGUUAUUUGGGGAUGAAAGCGAAUCACAGAAUCAUUUUGACUGGAAGAGACCUUUAAGAUCAUCGAGUCCUACCUUCAGGGGAAAAAAAGUUACUCAGGGAUGAAAUAAAGUUAUUUGAGGAAGAAAGAAUAAAGUUGUUUGGAGAUGGAACUGAAAGGGUUUACCUCACGGAAGUUAAAAAGCCAUUCGAGGGAGAAAGACAAAACCGUGAUCCCAGGCGGCAAGCCCAAGGCAUCCCCCGGGGAAGCCAGGACGCAGCCGCAGCCCCUCGGGGGCUGAGCCGAGCUGCCCUGAGCUCCGCACACUCACAGGACCGCGACGGCGGGUCCCAGGGAGCGGCGAGACGGCCGCCGAGCCGCCUCCUCUCCCUCCCGGGGCCACUCUGCUCCCAAGGGGGAAGCUGAAGGGGUCCUGUGUGGCCACUGGCGUUCAAGGAUGGACUUCGGCAGUGAAGCCUUGCAGGCUGGGCAGUGGCCAGGAAGGGCAGCGGCUCAGCGAAGGAUGGGAAAGGAAACGCGUCCAGCCAGCAGCCACUGAGCCAAACAGAAGUAGUCUUUAGCAAUAAUAAACACUUUGAAUUUACAAUUUCGUUUCUCCCCACAGUAAAUAAACCUGAGGAGUGUAAACAGCA